UACGGAGGGUGCGAGCGUUGUCCGGAAUCACUGGGCGUAAAGGGCGCGUAGGCGGCGCGGGUAGUCAUCGGUGAAAGUUCAGGGCUCAACUCUGAAUCGGCCGGUGAUACUCCCGUGCUCGAGCACUGUAGAGGCAGGUGGAAUUCCGGGUGUAGCGGUGGAAUGCGUAGAGAUCCGGAAGAACACCGGUGGCGAAGGCAGCUGGCUACACAAAUAUUGACACUGAGGCACGAAAGCGUGGGGAUCAAACAGG
rnacentral:rRNA from 1 species